GAUGUUUCAUUGGAUGUAGAAGACCCACAUUCCAUAUUCUCAAGCACAGGUCGGCCCCUAGGGAAAUGUGAACUUUUGCAUCUCGAAAUGAGAGAAAGGAAUCAAGCACAUCGGUGUGUGCUAGUCCAUUACAAAGGAAUAAAUGAAUACCAAUAACUCCACCUGAAAGAAAUCAAAAGGCAGUUAGGUCGUAACUCUCGUCCCAAGAAGGUUAUGGAUUUGCAUGAUAGGGACUUUCCAAAAUGGUUCAAUGAGCAUAUAUUGAAACUCCGGCAAAAUGGG